CUUAAUAAAACAACGCUGGUUCGACCCUUCUUUUUUCUUCUUUUUUACCCACUUUAUCUUCCCCUUCACUUUAUCUUCCCCUUCUCAACAGCGACAUGCAGACAAAGAAAGAGAACGAGACACGAGCAGAGCAGUAAGAGAGAGAAACAGAGAUCCGGGAGCCGGCGAGUCUCCGGCAACCGGCCUUCGACGCGUGCUCGCCUCCCACAAACAGAACCGAAGUCGUCGACUCUAGGGCUUUCUGGUGAAGAUUCGAGCGAUCAGAGGUGGAAGUGGCGAGUUCCGACGAGUCUAGGGUUCCGCCGUGACCUAUGAUGACAAUGGCGAUGUGGUGAAUAUGCUUCCAAAGCCACCUCUUGUUUAUAUUCAAACUCUUCAGCCCCUUUUCAUGUUUCUCGCCCUAUAAAUCAACCUUAUUUUCAUUCGAAUAUUGAACCCAAACCCACAUUCCAUCUCCGGUUAGUACAAAGUGGACUAUGAAAACGAAUACCAGCAACAGAUCCCAGAUUCAAGAUAUGAAUGCCUUCUUUUUGUUUUAGAUGUAGAUGACACCCUUUAUCCUCUAAGCUCUGGGCUGUCAGCUGAGUGCACCAAGAACAUCAAAAAUAUCUGCUCGCGAAACAAACAGUCUGAACCAUUAAUUGCUGAACCUAUAAGAGGUUUGAUACAACAAGUUAGUUAUUUAUUAGGUAUAGAUUUGUAUAUGAAUUUAAGUUAUCAUCUCUGUUACAUGAAUGCUUUUGUUUAGAGUAUAUGGUGAAAAAGCUUGAUAUAGAGGAAAGCAAAGUUCUGGAAAUGUGUGUCCAACUAUACAAGGAUUACGGGACAACAAUGGCUGGUCUUCGGGUUAUCGGGCUAUUGGCUAUGAUUCUGACCAUGAUGACUACCAUAGUUUUGUUCACGGGAGAUUACCAUAUGAAUAUCUGAAACCCGACCCUGUUCUUAAAAGUCUUUUAAAUAGUUUGCCCAUCAGGAAAGUGAUUUUCUCAAACGCGAACGAGGCACAUGUGGAAGAAGUUCUUGGCCGACUUGGAUUGGGGGACUGCUUUGAUGAUGUCAUAUGUUUCGAGUCCCUAAACUCUAAAACCCAAACCGCUAAUACUUCUAAGUGUGACAACGAACCCGUUGGUUUACUACCAAAGAGCCCUAUUGCUUGCAAACCCUCUGAAAACGCUUUCCAACAGGCUUUUAAGAUGGCCAACAUUAACCCUCAUAAAACCUUGUUCUUUGAUAACAGUAUACACAAUAUACAAACUGCCAAACUCACCGGCCUCACCACUGUGUAGGUUGGGUCGUCACAGCGUAAGAAUGGCGUGGACUACGCCUUACAGAGUGUUGGCAAAACAACGGGUCAUCAUCCACCACUCAUCAGAAUGACUUCUCUACCCAUAAUGUGUUGGAACUCAGAAACGAUACUAGGGCAUGAAUCAUAUCUGAAUCUUGGCAAGAGAUUAAUGAGGAUGAUCUGAAGUUUACAGCCAGGAGCUUUCAGCAGUGAAGUUGCUACUAUUGGUGAAUCGUGUUUGUAAUCAUAUUCAUGAAGCGCGGCGCAACGCGCGCGCCGGAUAACACCUAGUUAGUUUUAAAAAGUAUAAUUGUAUUCAUAGUCUAUAAGUUAAAGUUACGUAUCUAAAUUUUUGAAUGACAAUUUAAACUGUACAUGUAUAAGAUCAGAAACCCCACCUCAAUAUUUUAU